AGUCAUAUGCUUGUCUCAAAGAUUAAGCCAUGCAUGUCUCAGUACAAGCCACAUUAAGGUGAAACCGCGAAAGGCUCAUUAAAUCAGUUAUGGUUCCUUAGAUCGUACCCACACUUACUUGGAUAACUGUGGUAAUUCUAGAGCUAAUACAUGCAAACAGAGCUCCGACCGGAGACGGGAGGAGUGCUUUUAUUAGAUCAAAACCAAUCGGUGGGUGGGCGCGCUCGCGCGUCCGUCCGCCGCUCAACCUGGUGACUCUGAAUAACUUUCCGCUGAUCGCACGGUCUCGCACCGGCGACGCAUCUUUCAAAUGUCUGCCUUAUCAACNGUCGAUGGUAGGUUC
rnacentral:rRNA from 1 species